rnacentral:rRNA from 1 species
UACGUAGGGUGCAAGCGUUGUCCGGAAUUAUUGGGCGUAAAGAGCUCGUAGGCGGUUCGUCGCGUCGGCUGUGAAAACCUGAGGCUCAACCUCAGGCCUGCAGUCGAUACGGGCGGACUUGAGUACUGCAGGGGAGACUGGAAUUCCUGGUGUAGCGGUGAAAUGCGCAGAUAUCAGGAGGAACACCGAUGGCGAAGGCAGCUCGCUGGGACGGUACUGACGCUGAGGCGCGAAAGCGUGGGGAGCAAACAGG